CAGCAGCCGCGGUAAUACGUAGGGUGCAAGCGUUAAUCGGAAUUACUGGGCGUAAAGCGUGCGCAGGCGGUUUUGUAAGACAGAGGUGAAAUCCCCGGGCUCAACCUGGGAACUGCCUUUGUGACUGCAAAGCUGGAGUGCGGCAGAGGGGGAUGGAAUUCCGCGUGUAGCAGUGAAAUGCGUAGAUAUGCGGAGGAACACCGAUGGCGAAGGCAAUCCCCUGGGCCUGCACUGACGCUCAUGCACGAAAGCGUGGGGAGCAAACAGGAUUAGAUACCCUGGUAGUCCACGCCCUAAACGAUGUCAACUGGUUGUUGGGAAUUCACUUUCUCAGUAACGAAGCUAACGCGUGAAGUUGACCGCCUGGGGAGUACGGCCGCAAGGUUAAAACUCAAAGGAAUUGAC
rnacentral:rRNA from 1 species